AAUCUUGCGCAAUGGGCGAAAGCUUGACGCAGCAAAGGCGCGUGGGGGAUGAAGGCCUGCGGGUCGUAAACCCCUUUCAGCAGGGACGAAAAUGGCGGUACCUGCAGAAGAAGGUCCGGCCAACUACGUGCCAGCAGCCGCGGUAAUACGUAGGGACCAAGCGUUGUCCGGAAUUAUUGGGCGUAAAGAGCUCGUAGGCGGUUCGGUAAGUCGGGUGUGAAAAUCCAGGGCUCAACCCUGGGACGCCACCCGAUACUGCUGUGACUAGAGUCCGGUAGAGGAGCGUGGAAUCCCUGGUGUAGCGGUGAAAUGCGCAGAUAUCAGGAGGAACACCAGCGGCGAAGGCGGCGCUCUGGGCCGGUACUGACGCUGAGGAGCGAAAGCAUGGGGAGCAAACAGGAUUAGAUACCCUGGUAGUCCAUGCCGUA
rnacentral:rRNA from 1 species